GGGGUUAUAGCCCAGCCGGUUAGAGCGCUACGCUCACAUCGUAGAGGUCACAGGUUCGAAUCCUGUUAACCCCACCA
rnacentral:tRNA from 1 species